GGUUAAGCGACUAAGCGUACACGGUGGAUGCCCUGGCAGUCAGAGGCGAUGAAGGACGUACUAAUCUGCGAUAAGCGCCGGUAAGGUGAUAUGAACCGUUAUAACCGGCGAUUUCCGAAUGGGGAAACCCAGUGUGAUUCGUCACACUAUCAUUAACUGAAUCCAUAGGUUAAUGAGGCGAACCGGG
rnacentral:rRNA from 1 species